UUUUUAUCACAAAGAUCAAGACAACAAUUGUGUGCCUACAAGAAAAGAACAACUAAAACCAUCCAACAAGCAUUAAAAGAACAAUUCUAGAGAUAGUUGCCUUUGAACUCCAAUAAUGGAGUUCAUCUAUGAAACAGAAGAAAUCUAAAUUUUGCCUUGGCUUCACCCCAAACUACAAAAAGUACUGUUUUACAAGAGCUUAUUCUGAAAUAUCACUUCCUGAACGUAGAAGUAUGCUAUUUGCACAGAUACAUUCCAUAGACAUACACAAUGUCCAGCUGAGAAAAUAAAGGAUAGUCCAUCUGGAUGUUUCUUUCUUUCUCCUAACUGUGACCUCAGCCUGCUCCAGAGAGGACACCAGCAUCUUUUGCUACUGAGGUAUCAAAC
rnacentral:lncRNA from 1 species